rnacentral:rRNA from 1 species
AUUGAACGCUGGCGGCAGGCCUAACACAUGCAAGUCGAGCGGAGCGGCGGUCGGGUGCGUAAUGCCUAGGAAUCUACCUGGUAGUGGGGGCUAACGUCCGGAAACGGGCGCUAAUACCGCCUACUAUACGCUGAGCCUCGGUCGGAUUAGCUCGUUGGUGUGGUAAAGGCAUACCAAGGCGACGAUCCGUACCUGGUAUGAGAGGAGGAUCAGUCACACUGGAACGGAGACACGGUCCAGACUCCUACGGGAGGCAGCAGUGGGGAAUAUGGGACAAUGGGCGAAAGCCUGAUCCAGCCAUGCCGCGUGUGUGAAGAAGGUCUUCGGAUUGUAAAGCAAUUUAAGUUGGGAGGCGUUACCAACAGAAUAAGCACCGGCUAACUUCGUGCCAGCAGCCGCGGUAAUAC